rnacentral:lncRNA from 1 species
ACCUUAUAUGCUACUCCCUCCGUUCCUUUAUAAUUGUCACUUUUGCAUACAAAAUUUGAUUUCAAUUAACUGUCGUUUUCAAAGUCCAAUGUAUCAUUAAAUGUGGUUUUACCUAUAUUACCCUUAUAUAUUUAUUACUGAGAGAUAAAUAUAUGAAAUGAAAUAUUAAAUUAUUAAGGUUAUUAUAGGAAAAAGAUAAAUUGUUGUAUCAAAAGUAGUAAAAG